AUUAGGAGGAACGCAAUGAUGCGAAGCAUCAUUUUUUAAAUGCGUUCCGACGAGCUGCCGCGACCAGAAGAGUCGCGGCGAUACCCCUG
rnacentral:sRNA from 1 species